GCCUGCAGCUAUGAACUUGAACGUCAGAUCGGAGGGACACACCAGCGUAGUCCCUUGAGACUGUUUAUUGGCCUCUGGAGAGAAAUGGAAAUUUAUUUGCCAGGAAGGAUGAUCCCAUUAUACUUCUGCUGGAACCAGAGCAUGGCCGCCUCCUUGCUGAUUCUGUGUUUGGCUCCAAUGCAGCCUGUCCUGUGCUGCUUGUCUGCGAUGCUGAAAUCUGGCUUACCCAGCUCCACGAAGAAGUCCAGGCUGUAGAUACCAGUGCUUGGGUCAUAUUUGGUGCCCAGAUCAAUGUGUUCCUGAAGCCCAAAACCAAAGUUUCCAAUGUUUGAGAAGUUAUUUUUUCUUAACUUGCAUUCUCGCACCUUCAGAACUAUCUCCAAGAUUUCUUCUGCCUUGGCCUCACAGACUGGUGCACGGCAAUCUUCUCAUUUCUCCUGAUGCCAAAGGACCUGAUGGUUUAUCUAGCUUUGGAGAACACCGGGGUCUGGCUAGUGAGCUGCUUCAGCACCUCGGUGGCCCGGGUCAGUCUGUCCGUGCUCUCCCCUACAUAGAUAUUGAGGCAGAGCUUGCAGAUGCACAGUUCCCACAUGGGGUUCUCCUUUUCACCUCGAUCCUGUGCCAUGGGAGGAACAGGAAGUAAUCUCCUCAUAUUAAAGGCCUGUCUGUGGUCCUUAGUAGACCUAGGGGAGACUUUGAAGAGAUCCAUAUUUUGAGUGCCAAAGACCAUCGUGUACUACUCUGCUGCGGAUUCUGCUAUUCUAUAUUGCAAAGCUCAGAUUUUGAGAAAUAAACCCUAUAAACUUCCCAGAGUGUAGGCAGGAAGGUAAACUUAGAGCUAAACUAACCCAUGUGGAGAAAUAGGAGGAUAGAGACUCACAGUGUGGUCAGAAGAAUGGGGACACUCUAAGUAGAGUCUAGAAUUUGGUGGAUACUUGAGUAGACCUUCCGUGAACAGCGUUUAAUACUUUUCUUCUGGAUAUGG
rnacentral:lncRNA from 1 species